rnacentral:rRNA from 1 species
GAUGAACGCUGGCGGCGUGCCUAAUACAUGCAAGUCGAGCGAACAGACGAGGAGCUUGCUCCUCUGACGUUAGCGGCGGACGGGUGAGUAACACGUGGAUAACCUACCUAUAAGACUGGGAUAACUUCGGGAAACCGGAGCUAAUACCGGAUAAUAUAUUGAACCGCAUGGUUCAAUAGUGAAAGACGGUUUUGCUGUCACUUAUAGAUGGAUCCGCGCCGCAUUAGCUAGUUGGUAAGGUAACGGCUUACCAAGGCGACGAUGCGUAGCCGACCUGAGAGGGUGAUCGGCCACACUGGAACUGAGACACGGUCCAGACUCCUACGGGAGGCAGCAGUAGGGAAUCUUCCGCAAUGGGCGAAAGCUUGACGGAGCACCGCCGCGUGAGUGAUGAAGGUCUUCGGAUCGUAAAACUCUGUUAUUAGGGAAGAACAAAUGUGUAAGUAACUAUGCACGUCUUGACGGUACCUAAUCAGAAAGCCACGGCUAACUACGUG